rnacentral:misc_RNA from 1 species
CUUGGUACCGGAAAGUGUCCUAAGAGAAAAAUAUCAUCAGAUGGAGAAAACUGCUUUGAAAGUCGCUCUUGUAGAACAAGAUGGAGCGCCUCUAUUUGUCUAUUUUCUUUCUUGGUUGCAAUCACUGUUACUAUUUAUGAAGAUAUCAGGUAUUCCACAACAAGAGGCAGAAAAAAUCCCAGACGAACCUAUCAAAGAUUUGGACACAUUUGAUCUACUGCAGAGGGCGAGGUAUUUUUUCGUCGAGUUG